rnacentral:rRNA from 1 species
UACGGGGGGGGCAAGCGUUGUUCGGAAUUACUGGGCGUAAAGGGCUCGUAGGUGGCCAACUAAGUCAGACGUGAAAUCCCUCGGCUUAACCGGGGAACUGCGUCUGAUACUGGAUGGCUUGAGUUUGGGAGAGGGAUGCGGAAUUCCAGGUGUAGCGGUGAAAUGCGCAGAUAUCGGGAAGAACACCCGUGGCGAAGGCGGCUCUCUGGAACGCAACUGACGCUGAGACGCGAAAGCGUGGGGAGCAAACAGG